GAACGCUGGGAGCCUGUAACAGAAGGGAUGGCAACGAAUGGACGAUAAACGAAGAGUGCCGUUUCGAAAGGUCCAGAUUAGAUGUUGCCGUCCCUGGCGAAGCACGUCAGCUCGGCGGCCAAAGGGACCCUGCAAUGGCAGCAGCGCAAACAGCCGCAGUGCCACGCACGAUCCGCUGCCCUUAGGUACCAUCGCUCGGCUAUCUCCCUGCCGCAACCCCCGCAGCCCAGUCCACCCUCCGUGUUGUUGUUCUCGCCGGUGGUAACCUGACGAUUGCUGAUCGCACCAUCCCCUGGCGGGGGUGUGCUGCUUCCGCAGCCGACUUCCUUCAGCAUCGCGACGUCACCUGCCUCCAGGACAUUCUGCGGACAAUCGAUCUGGGGCGCUGUAUUUAGCGGUGCACUCGAGCCUAGCCGGCGGCCACUCGUCUCACGGCGAAAAUGCUCCCCACGUCGGAGGGAUUUUUUUUCACGGCGGUGAUCGCGACGAGGUCCCGAGGAUCUGAAGGAGCCUGCUCCUGCGGGAGAGCGGAGACGUCGCCGUCGAGCCGGCCGCAUUCAUUCAGGACACUUCUCGGGAGCGCACGCAAGAACCGAUGAAUGAAAACAAUUCGUGACUGCUGUCCCGUUAAUGAAUGACUCCCGGGGUAGUGGCUCUCGGUUUCGAAUCGGCCGCGAGCUAAUUAGUAGAACCUUGCGGAUCGCCACAAUAACUCAACGUCCUUUACGAGCUCUCUCUCGGGCCCGCACGUGAUUUCCGUAAGUUAAAUGGAAGGUGACGUCGGUCUGGAAUCACCGUACACCUCGUUUUACCAAGGUGACGCCGUUUUGCUGCCGCUUGUCACCGACGUAUUAGGCCGAACGUGUGCGAGCUGAUUUACAACUAUCCCCCCUCCGCCCUCCGCGGCUCCCCUCCCCUAGCCCCUUUCCACCACGCCCUCGUCUCCUUUACUUUCUUUCUCGUUUUUCUCGCCGAUACGACGGCGAUUCCGUUUCAUUGUCUCUACCGGCGACCGACGGACAUGUGGUUUACGACGUCGCGGCUUGUACCCCUGGAAUUGCUCACUUGUUACCGAUUCGAUGCUACCCUUUAUCGGGCUACGCGACGCUUUAUGAGCACCUGCUCCAAGCACCUUGUCUCCUCGAUUUCAUUAAUUUUUCUCUCCUGCCCGACGCGAUCAUUUGUUCCCACUUUUCGCGGUUUCUUCGCUCUUUCACUUUCCUCGUAUUUUUCGUGAUUUUCUUGUUCAUUAUGGAGGUCGAGCUUUUCGAUGGAGGGAAAAAUCAGUUUCGAAAGACGUUAAUAUCCCUCGGAAUAUUUAUAAAUUCUGUCUAAGGAAUUCUGACGAGGAUAACGAAGACAAACGUUCCAUUAAAAGGACCUACGUAAUUCAAUAUUAUGUUAUAUUUAAUUGUGGAUUCGACUCUUGACACUAGGAGAAAAUUAUGGAAAAAUUGUGACUUUAUAAUGUCGAGCUGUAAAGUCGAAUUAUAAGGUAUUUUAUAAAGUCGUAUUCGACAAUGUCGAAUUGAAAUGAAGAUCGCUGCACCGCUGUGAAGAUUCAUAAGAAUGAAUAAAUAAAAGAGAUUUCGUGUCUUCAUUUAUGCAUUUUACACGAUUACUUUGUGUAUUCUGUUGUGUAUUCUUAAGUGCCUGAAAUGAUGCUUUGGCAUGAAUAUAUACCGUCGCCUUAUCGGCGACAUCUGAGUGCAAAGGGAUAAAAUAGACUUCCCAGCAAAGAAAUACCACGGCCACUCAGGAAUCACACAAUAAAACGUUAUUAAAGUAAAA